rnacentral:piRNA from 1 species
UCCACUGGACCUACUAUUCUAGAAAAAGAA